CUUGAUUGAAUCGCAGAUCAAGGCUGCCUUGCAAAUGUUCUUCAGUUGCGGCAGCCGCCCCAGAUGCAACAGCCUUAAUUUCGGAAGGACGACAGUGGCGGUGGCUCCUUCACUUGAAGUCAAUUGGGUGCCUUCUCCUCCUCCUUGUCCUACUCCAUUGCCAUCUGCUGCUAUCUCCUCCAGUCCUUCACAUUCUAUAACUGUUAAUGUUUCAAGAUUUUGAAGGCUCUGCAGCAACUGCACUGUGAAUAGCUGCUUCAUGUUGUGACAUUUAGAAAUGCUCAAUUUUUUAAGGGAAGAAAAGGUGCCAGCUGGAAGCAAAUAUGGUGGUCCGUCGAUGGCAGAAAGAAACGAAGGCAGCCUCUUUAAAUUUGGACAACCGAAUAUUGCAAUAUCCUCAAUUGAUUCGCAGAUCAUGGCUGCCUUGCAAACGUUCUUCAGUUGUGGCAGGUUACGCAGAUGCAACCGCCUCAAUUUCGGACGGUUGAUGACAGUGGCGGUGGCUCCUUCACAUGAGGUCAAUUGGGUGCCUUCUCCUCCUCCUUGUCCUACUCCAUUGCCAUCUGCUGCUAUCUCCUCCAGUCCUUCACAAUUGCAAACGUGUAAUUCUUCAAGAUUUUGAAGGCUCUGCAGCA
rnacentral:lncRNA from 1 species